AUGGAGGCGAAUGAGGGUUUUCUGUAUUAUUUGGUCUUAUUAGCCACAAUAAGAAAACAAAUGGUAUUCAAGAGGAGAUUGAGGCAAGAACGAAAAAAUGGACCACUGCAGCAAAAUGAAGACUGUGGAGCAGAGUACACCAGAAGAGGAUGGUUCUCUACAGGGAAAAUGCUCUAAGAGCUGAAGAUGGUGACCGGGAAACAAGCAGUCAAGCACUCAGAAUGGACUCAGCCAGACCGCCGUUAGAGAGUGCAUAACUGCGCACACAACAAGGAGACGAAGCAGAAGAACGAGGAAG